CAGUCGCCGCGGGAAUACGAAGGGGGCUAGCGUUGCUCGGAAUGACUGGGCGUAAAGGGCGCGUAGGCGGCUGACACAGUCAGAUGUGAAAUUCCUGGGCUCAACCUGGGGACUGCAUUUGAGACGUGUUGGCUUGAGUGGAGAAGAGGGUCGUGGAAUUUCCAGUGUAGAGGUGAAAUUCGUAGAUAUUGGAAAGAACACCGGUGGCGAAGGCGGCGACCUGGUCUUUAACUGACGCUGAGGCGCGAAAGCGUGGGGAGCAGACAGGAUUAGAUACCCGGGUAGUCCCUGUCUCUUAUAC
rnacentral:rRNA from 1 species